UAAUAUUAUCAUCGUCAUCAUUAUUAUUCUUCAAUUAUUAUUAUUAUUAUUAUUAUUAUUAUUAUUAUUAUUAUUAUUAUUAUUAUUAUUGUAAUUAUUAUAAUUAUAAUUAUUAUCAAUUCACCUGCCUAUAAAACGAGAUCGAGUAAUAUCGCUAUGAAAACAAACACACAGAUAGACCAUUGUAAUAUUUGAAUGAAAAGAAUGUACACGUUACACGACAAACUACUUUACACGCUACACUACGUGACUAUGCCAGUGCCGUAUCAUAGUAAACUCUUGAAUGUAAUUCUUCCCAAUCUUUUUUCUUAAUUAAAACUAUUUAAAUGACUAGUAAAUACUUGAUGUAUUUCAAAAGUAUCGAACAAACUUUCGCCACUUUUGAAGUAUAUUCCAUGAGAAGUAGCCACUUGUAAGUAAAACUUAGCUGAUUUCAUAUUAGUAAUCAGAAUUACUAACACCCGACAGAUAAGUAACGUAACUUAGAAAUCGUAAAAAAAAUAAAUAAAUAAAUAAUAAUAAAAAGAUUGUUUGUUCAAAUGCUACCACACUAAAAUAAAAAAAACACCAACAUAUGUAAUCUAGACUAUAUACGAGCGUACAUAAGUACAGUAAUAUGUUUCGAAUUCCUUCGACAAUAUCGCAAUUAUACGUGGUAAUUCAGAAGUGAAAAAGACAGAUAAUAAUUCUACUAUGUAAAGCAAUGAGUUAUGUACAUACAUUUAUAUAUACCUAUAUAUAAAUAUCUAUGUAUAUAUAUGCAUGUACAGGCGGUAUGUGUAUAUAAUACAUUCAUAGAGAGAAAGUUUCAAUGGCAUUUAGCCACUGGAGUAAUCAAUGUUAUAUUCUAUACAACAUUAUAUAUGGAUGUUUGCAUGAUCUAGAGACUAAUUAUUUUACAUUUUUUUAUAAAUAAAGAAAUCUGAAUAAACGAAUGGAAUUAUAAUCAAAGUCAGCCAUGUUCAAUAUUAUUCAAGACUAAAAAAAAAGAGAAGAAAUUUCUGUAAUACAAACUUUGUUGUAACAAUAAUUAAUGAAGUUUUUUUUUCGGUUUUUCGUGCUCUAUCACUGUUGAAAUGCUCACAUCUACAUAUAUGUAUAUGAUCAUAUUGUUAUUAUAUAUUUGUAUGUAACUAAGUCCCUUACUAUUAAGUCUACCGCCAAUAACUUACUUGAUCUAGUGUUUUUGCUGCCACGUGUAGAAUUACUCAUUAUCACAUAUCACUAUUGCAUUUCAUUGAGAUGGUCUAGUUAGAAGGGAAUACCUUUGAAGUGAAUUGUGAAUUGAUAACUUUUUUGCCCAUGUUUGACGCCUCGCUGUUGUUUGGUAAUAUCGACAAAUUGCCUACCUUCCUUGCUGUAUCGGUUAAAUUCUACGUCACAUUUGAAUCUCCCGAAGCACAAUAUGUUUUGUUGCUAUCGGUCUGUUCUCUUUGGAAUUACCUAGUAUAUUUGCGCACGAUCGAAAUGAAUCGGUUGUUUAUUGUACCAUCGUAUGGAUAAGGUUUCUGUUGAAUGAGGAAUGUUAAUUGAGUAUAGAUUAUUAAAACAAUCUUACAAUUAAAAGAAAAAAAUAAUCAUAAUGACAAACCCAAAAGUAUUUGGCUUAGUAUGGCUGUGUUUAGGGCAGUGUUGUAAAUCUGGAGUGGUGCACCUUUUGUGGUAGUAAACUCUUGAAAACGAUUACAGAUCAUAAUAUACACUCCAAUAAAAAUACUGUGAGUCGCAAAAUAGAAGAGUUGAUGGAUUAAAUAUGAUCAGGCCUUGUUUUGGCCAAUAUGGGGCAAAGUGCAUUUCAGUUUUUUUUGUCUUUUUCUUUUCUUUCAGCAAACUAAUAGAUGCCGUCAUUUGAGAACAAAGAAAUUUCGUUGGCAGUGAUUUAUACAGAACUUGUACCGCAGUUAUUUACCUGAGUUAUAAAACGAGAGAUACUGAAUAUGGACAAAUUGAAUCGUAUGAUUUUAGAAAUUAUUUAUUGCAGUUAAUUGAAAGCCGAUAGACUCGAAUGAACAGCUGGUUCUUGGCACAAUGUGUCUUAUGGAUUUUCACAUAUUGAGGAGCAAUCGAGACUAUUGGCUCUCAAUUGAAAUACACUUUUCCGCACGCAAGGUCUUUUCAUGAUACGAUACUGUGUAGUUUCCCUAAUGUAUAUAAAUUACGUGACAUUAUUGACCGGGUAGCGAUGAUGAUAAUUUUCGAUUUUGCGGAUCUAUCGAACGAGCAAUUGUACAGGGUUUGCUAUCGUCGCAUAAUCAAUCCAAACAAUUUUUCUGUUGUGAAAUCCACAGUAUUUAGAAAGGAAUUUACUAUUGUAAUAAAGGAAAAAUAAUGCCACGCUAUAUUAUACAAUUGUGUUUUAUUUUUAUUUUAUUUUUUAUUUCAAUUUUAUUAUUAUUACUAUUAUGAAAUUUUUUUAAUGUUAUGGAACACAUUAAUAUAACCCAAAGGGGUAAUAUUAUGAAAUUAUAUUAUUAAUAAUUAUUAAUUACUAUCAAUAGGUGAUACUGCAGACAAAACUAUGGAAUAUAAUAAUUAUUAUUACAAUUAUUACUGAAAUACCGAAUAUAGAAUACUACUUUUUAUUAUGAAUUUUCGUAAUUAGUGAUUUAAUUACCUAAUUAAAGAUUAAUGAGACGCUAAUGUAACGUUCAUCCCUUUCCCCUUACCCCUCGUAACCCUUUCAACUGUCCACUGCAUUAGUCACGAUAAAUGUUGUAUGAUAACAAUGUGUGUUCCUUUAUUUAUUUUGUAGUUUAUGAUGCACACUGUCAUUAAGUUAGUCAGAAUUAGGUGUUUUUGCAAAAUUGGCAAAAGUGUCUGUGCCAUAUCAGUGAUACAAUCUAAGAUGGACUAUGAAGAUUACUAAGACUAUUAAGAUUGAUACAACGAAAUCUAGUUGACACCUGGUGCAAAGAAAAACUUUAUGUCUUUUCAAAUGAUGAACAUUUUUUACCAAACACUGAUCUGUUUACAACUCAUCGUAGGUUUUUAUAUGACUGCAAUCAAAUCGACGUUAGCUAAUCUAUUCUAAUAUUCUAUUGUAAUAAUAACUAAAGUUGAUCCUGAAAUCGUCCGUGUAUUGUUUGGAGUUCUUGAUCAUAGUUCUGAGUCUAUUUCAGUUUCGUUUAUUUUGACCUGUGUCAAUAAUCGACACGACCGAAGCAUGUAAAAUUUGAGCAAUUUUAAAAUUAGGAUUUAAGAAAAAUUCAACUCCUCAUCUCUGACUGUUUUGAUUUUCUGCUAUCACAUCGAGUACAGUGCGCCUGGAGUAGCUGAAAACCUUUUUAUUGCAUCUAAAUUUUUCUCAUUUCUGCGUCCAUUCAAUUGAAAAAAAAAACGUUUGUCAAGGAGUUAAAAUCCAUUUACUUCCACCGAAUUGAAUUGCGCAAUGGAUUUUUUCACAGACUGAUAACUUCUAUAAUAUUCUUUAGAAAUUCAGAAACUCUUUCUGAUAAAAAAAGGGUGCGGCUACGAACGUAUAUAUGCUUGGCAGUCAUAAGUGAUGACAAAUUUUAAGUAAGUAUACAGAUACUUUGGUAGUUUAACUUUUGAUAAGAAUAAAUUUUCUUUGGUGGUUUGUUCGUGGAUAUUUUUAUAUUCCAGAAUUAGAAUUCAUGAUUCCAUGGAUGUAUUCUAAUAGCAAAGUGAAAAAAAAAAAUAAAUAGAAUCAUGUAGCCAACAAUAGACGUCUAGAUUUUGUUCAUUCGUUAACGCGGCUGCGCCUGGAAUAGCGUUCGAUCAUUGCAGCUGAAUAAUCAAUAUUGUAUACAUAUAAGUUGCUUUACAAACACGAACAAAUUAUCACUCGAGUCCUGAUUAUUGAAGAAGUUUUUAUUUCAAUCAAAUAAAUAUUUAAAUCAAGUAAAUUGAUAUACAGAUAAAUAACAUGAAAGAUAGAAUCGCAUUAUUGUCCCGUCUGGCGUUCGAUAGGCGACGAAAUUCGGAUGGUCAUCUCAGCGUUUCAGCGGUCGACGUUUUUCUGUAACUAAGUUACUCGCCUAUCAUAAUCUGGAAGUCUAAGGAAUAACCAUUUUUCGCAUGUAUAUUCUGUGCCCACGCUGUACAUUCGACGGUUAUUAGUCUGUUAACUAUAAAGGCAA